AUGCUCAGCAGAGCAUCCAGGAAGGGUGUGAAGCAUCUCAAAAACUCCCAUAUUCCAAACAAUCCUAGAGCCAUCCCAGGGAGCUGCCACCAGCAGCUGGCAAUCAGGACCAAGUGCCAUCACUGUGACACUGGCUGUGACACACAGAGAGGAGGGAGAGGCUGCUCUUGCUGCCACAGACAGAAAAGGGACAUUUUUGAGCUUGUUUAUGUGCUGUGCUUCCCCAGCUGGAACCCCUGGUCCUGUGUGAACCCCGUGGUCUGUGCCAGGAGCAAGAUUAGGUUCCUGCAGACAUAUCUAGAGGCAGUUAUUUUACAGCAGAUCCAGUUCAUGUUCCCUGCAGGGAGAAACGCUAUUAGAGCAGAGAACAUCAGCCCUGAGAAUGCACCGUUAUUCUGAAAAGACUGAG
rnacentral:lncRNA from 1 species